rnacentral:rRNA from 1 species
GAUGAAUGCUGGCGGCGUGCCUAAUACAUGCAAGUCGAGCGAAUGGAUUGAGAGCUUGCUCUUAUGAAGUUAGCGGCGGACGGGUGAGUAACACGUGGGUAACCUGCCCAUAAGACUGGGAUAACUCCGGGAAACCGGGGCUAAUACCGGAUAACAUUUUGAACCGCAUGGUUCGAAAUUGAAAGGCGGCUGCGGCUGUCACUUAUGGAUGGACCCGCGUCGCAUUAGCUAGUUGGUGAGGUAACGGCUCACCAAGGCAACGAUGCGUAGCCGACCUGGGUGGGAGAUCGGCCACACGGGGACUGAGACACGGCCCAGACUCCGGCGGGAGGUAGCAGUAGGGAAUCUUCCGCAAUGGACGAAAGUCUGACGGAGCAACGCCGCGUGAGUGAUGAAGGCUUUCGGGUCGUAAAACUCUGUUGUUAGGGAAGAACAAGUGCUAGUUGAAUAAGCUGGCACCUUGACGGUACCUAACCAGAAAGCCACGGCUAACUACGUGCCAGCCGCCGCAGUAA